GACGGAGGGUGCAAGCGUUGUUCGGAAUUACUGGGCGUAAAGGGCGCGUAGGCGGUCUGUUAAGUUCGGUGUGAAAGCCCCCGGCUCACCUGGGGAACUGCGCCGGAAACCGACAGACUCGAGUACCGGAGAGGAGGGUGGAAUUCCUGGUGUAGCGGUGAAAUACGUAGAUAUCAGGAGGAACACCGGUGGCGAAGGCGGCCCUCUGGACGGAUACUGACGCUGAGGCGCGAAAGCGUGGGGAUCAAACAGG
rnacentral:rRNA from 1 species